UUUCUCAAUGGGCGAAAGCUGAAGGAGCGACGCCGCGUGGAGGAUGAAGGCUUUCGGGUUGUAAACUCCUGUCAUUUVAMAACAAGUYGGACGCAGUAACUACGCGUCCAUUGAMAGUAUCAAAAGAMGAAGGGACGGCUAACUCUGUSCCAGCMGCCGCGGUAAUACAMAAGUCCCAAGCMUCGUUCGGMUUCAUUGGGCGUAAAGGGUGCGUAGGUGGCGCCGUAAGUMGGGUGUGAMAUUMCGGAGCUUAACUCCGAAACUGCAUUCCAUACUGCRGUGCUUGAAGACUGGAGAGGAGACUGGAAUUUACGGUGUAGCAGUGAAAUGCGUAGAGAUCAUAAGGAAGACCAGUGGCGAAGGCGGGUCUCUGGACAGUUCCUGACACUGAGGCACGAAGGCCAGGGGGAGCAAACGGGAUUAGAUACCCCGGUAGUCCUGGCAGUAAACGGUGCACGUUUGGUGUGGGAGGCUUCGACCCCUUCUGCGCCGGAACUAACGCGUUAAACGUGCCGCCUGGGGAGUACGGUCGCAAGAUUAAAACUCAAGAAAUUGACGGGGGCCCGCACAAGCGGUGGAGUAUGUGGCUUAAUUCGAUGCAACGCGAAGAACCUUACCUGGCCUUGACAUGCAUUUKUAAACCGGUGAAAGCCGGGGAGUGUCGAAAGABACKAUUUGCACAGGUGCUGCAUGGCUGUCGUCAGCUCGUGUCGUGAGAUGUUGGGUUAAGUCCCGCWACGAGBGCAACCCCUGUGWABUGUUGCCACUCCCUUGAUUGGGAAGCAYUYUGUUCAGACUGCCCUKUGADACGGGGAGGAAGGUGGGGACGACGUCAAGUCAGUAUGGSCCUUACGGCCAGGGCUGCACACGUACUACAAUGCCCAGUACAGAACGAUCCGAGACCGCAAGGUGGAGGAAAUCUAGUAAAACUGGGCCCAGUUCGGAUUGGAGUCUGCAACUCGACUCCAUGAAGCCGGAAUCGCU
rnacentral:rRNA from 1 species